CAAGGAGGCAGCACCUGCCAUCAAAAAUAGAGAAAGGAAGCCUCGCUCUUCUGGAGACCAACCGCCGAAGGGUCACUUUCGUACGGGUAUUCAGAGAGCAUCUCCACUCACAGCGGGACGAAAUCCCCUGAACUCAUGCAGCUCUGAAGGUGCCCUGAACCCAGGUGGCUCCAUGUGGAAACCGACCAGUG